GUCAAAAGCACAAAUUGUGAAGAAAAAUAGGAUAAAUGAUAAUAAUACAACUUAAUGACACAUGAGUGGAUUUGAUUGGAGAAAUAGAGGGUUUAGUAUUUCGUGGUGACUUCCAAACGCAGCAUAUUCUUUCUGUACACGUCUCGGUCUCGAGUCAUAUUGAAACUUUGAAAGCAUCUUAUCAAAGAUCCUAACUUUUUUCUUUCUUCUUUAUUCUAUCUAAAACUCACUGUGCCACCUUCCUAUUUGUAUUCAUAACCAGACAGAUCCUGAAAACUGGAGAUCCCGUGAAUCGCUCAUCAACGUUGCAUUGCCUCUUUCACUGUUCAGGAUUUUGGCGCCAAAAACCAUGAAGCUCGACGCCUCCAAUGGCCAGAUGUCCUUCGCCGCCGACGUUUCGCCGCCGCAGGACCAUGGCGACGCCGAGGAGAUAUUCGUCCCGCCGCUCAACUUCGCCAUGGUGGACAAUGGCAUUUUUAGGUCUGGCUUUCCCGAUUCUGCCAACUUCGGAUUCUUGAAAUCCCUCCGCCUCCGUUCCGUAAUAUGUCUGUGCCCCGAGCCGUAUCCAGAAACCACUUCGGAAUUUUUGAAGGACAACGGAAUAAGGCUUUAUCAAUUCGGGAUCGAUGGCUGUAAGUGCUUGGAUACAAUUCAAUUAGUAAUUUGAAGAUGAGUCCGAAUAUCAGGAAUAAGAUAUAAAUAUGUCAAAAUUACUUUUCUAUGAUUGCACAACGUGAUGAAAUGAAUUUCUGGAAGACUUCCUCUUCAGAAUUAUAAAUGUUCCUUCAGGGCUCUCUUUAUAAUCAAAAGCACUUAACUGCUAAUUCAAAGCAUGAACAUGCAUGUGCGUGUCAUUGCAAUAUACGAGGAAUAGAGAUGGGAUGCAUCUGAUGGUGCUGAUCUUUCAUAUAACAUUAGUGCAAGCUAGGUAGUCAAGUAUUUUCUGUUGUUUUAAGGGUCUGCGUUCACUAAAAUUGAGUGUCACACUAUAUUAGUGUGGAACUGUGGACCAAGAGGUUGUGUACCUCAACAUAUAGGUCUCAUUGUGGUGCCUUUUUUUUAACCUCAUUUUACCACUGAAAUAAUUGUUUGUGAAAGCUGAAAUACAGCCGAUUUUAAUUAGAACAAUUUCUGUGUGCAUUUGGCAUAAAAAAUGUUUGCAGCGCUGUGAACUUUAAUGCUCCUAGAAAGUAUAAGAUUUCUAUCAUAGGUUUGCAGGGCUGGCUUUCAGGCCCAAUUCCAUUUUGAAAGUGAACUCUUUGACCUGAAAACCUCAAACUUUGAUAAUGACGAACUAAAGAGGAUACCAUUAUUUAGUACAAGUACAGUUUGCUUUGGUCUGAAUUCAUGGGGAAAGUUAAUUUACAUUUUAUUGAAAAAUUCUUUGGAAGAAUUGUUGAAUUCAUGAACAGAAGCUCGCCAGCUACACUGAGUCCUUUAUUUCAAAACAGUUCUAGAAUUAAUGUUUUGCUUCAUUCCUUGUCGUAAAGCUAUUUUAGAAUAAGCAUAUGUAUUGUUCAGUGCCCUUGGCAAAGUCUUGAUUCAUUUAAGACGUUUAGCACAGACUAACAAAUCUCUUUACCUCCACCUACCAACAGUAACAUUUACAUUAGCUUUAUAAGCCACCUCAUACAAAAAUCAGAUGUGGGAGCUGUAGAGGAGAAUUCAAGACUUGCUGAACUGAUGGCUGUAAGAUGCUCCUGUUCAUAUGAAUUUGAUCUUUAUGUGUAGAGCUUGUUUUUCAACUAAUGAGGCAAAAGUUUGGGGAUUGAGAGUGGCGUACACAAAAACAAUUUAAACUGAUUUCUUUUCCAAUACGUGUUCCAUGCUAUUCGCGCCAGAUGAGUGAGUUGCCUGGUCUCUUCUAAGUGUUGCUCAAGGUGGUCACCAAUCUUGCAGCUUAACUUAUCCAAUGCAGACUUAUUUUUCUUGUGGGAUCAAUCUUUAGCAGGAGUUUGAAGGUGCCUCCUAUGCUGGAUUUGCUCCUAAUCUUAUGCACUCUUCAGUUAUCUUUUCCCUACAGGCUGUAGUCUUUAAGCUCUGGGGACGCAUUGGGUUAUCUCCUUUAAAAUUUAGUGAUACCAAUCCCCUUCCCCCAUAAAUUGCCUUCUCCGCCUGGAUGCCAGGCUGCCAGCCAAGGCUGGAAAAGCAAAAGAUCAAGAAAAAGAUGUUUUAAGUUUUAACUGAUAUCUUAAAAAUAUAUACUUCUGCACUUUGAUUACAAAUAUGUGUCUGUGGGCAGGAACCCUUCGUCAACAUUCCGGAGGAUACAAUUCGUGAAGCUUUGAAAGUAGUCCUUGAUGUUAGGAAUCAACCCCUGUUGAUUCAUUGUAAACGAGGAAAGCACCGCACUGGUUGUCUCGUGGGAUGCAUAAGAAGAUUGCAGAGGUGGUGUCUAUCAUCUGUUUUUGAUGAAUACCAAAGGUUUGCAGGUGCCAAAGCCAGAGUGUCAGACCAGAGGUUCAUCGAAUUGUUUGAUAUCUCUUAUUUGAAGCACUAUCCACUGUCAUUUUCAUGCUCAAGGAAAUAGAAAUUGAAAAAUUGGGGGUAUUAUAGAGAGUUGCUGCUUCCUCCAUGGAAUUUUUCCGUGAUGAAGUGAAGUCGACUAGUCGUUUAUCUGAAAACUAGAGCAGGGUGAUUUUUAAUAUGAGAUCUAUCCUUUUCCUGUUUGAC